AUUGAACGCUGGCGGCAUGCUUUACACAUGCAAGUCGAACGGUAACAGGCCGCAAGGUGCUGGCGAGCGGCGGACGGGUGAGGAAUGCAUCGGAAUCUGCCGAUUCGUGGGGGAUAACGUAGGGAAACUUACGCUAAUACCGCAUACGCCCCGAGGGGGAAAGUGGGGGACCGCAAGGCCUCAUGCGAAUCGAUGAGCCGAUGCCCGAUUAGCUAGUUGGCGGGGUAAUGGCCCACCAAGGCGACGAUCGGUAGCUGGUCUGAGAGGAUGAUCAGCCACACUGGAACUGAGACACGGUCCAGACUCCUACGGGAGGCAGCAGUGGGGAAUAUUGGACAAUGGGGGCAACCCUGAUCCAGCCAUGCCGCGUGUGUGAAGAAGGCCUUCGGGUUGUAAAGCACUUUUGUCCGGAACGAAAAGCCGCCGGUUAAUAACCGGCGGUGCUGACGGUACCGGAAGAAUAAGCACCGGCUAACUUCGUGCCAGCCGCCGCAGUAACAC
rnacentral:rRNA from 1 species